ensembl:processed_transcript
ACUCCUCACCAAGAACUCCUGAACUUGAGGGUGGACGACUUAAAAGCUAGCUCCCACAGACUCACCUGAAAAGACUUCAGCUGCGCGUUCAUUGAACUGAGAGGCCGGAUCACCUAUGUGAGGCGGUGGGAACCCUAUGGAGAUUUCUAUUAGAACUUCAGCAAAGUGCACUGCUGCAGCCGGCAGAAGCCAGCUCUCAGGCUGACAGGCAAAUGAUCCAGAUCCGUGAUCGGGGGCCUCUGGGUGGCAGCUCCGGCCUUUUGGUUGUUGGACAACUAUAGUCAGAACUGAAAUGGAACAGGGGCAGGAGAAAUAACACACUUUUACUCUACGCAACUGUUGCUUUCACAUGAUCUUCAGGAAUGUUACUGGGAUAACUGUUCAAAUCAAAUCCCAUGCUCCUAUCAUGGGAAUCAUGAGGAAUCCAUUAAUGUAAAGCUGCUGCCAGAGUUUCACGUGGAGGCAGAAUGUUCUAGAUGAUCCCUGUCUCUUCUCCACUGAGGAAGUAGUUUGUUGCCUUCCUGUAAGCUCGGUUAAUCACACCAGAAUAGGGCUCCUGUCUUACUGAGCAGUAUACACUAUGGAGAGAUCCUUCAAAAUCCGUUGGGAGGAAGAACAGAUGAAUUCAUAAAACUGUUCAUCUCUGUUAUCCUGAAUGGUCACUCAGACAACAUUUUACUAAACUAUCAAGGUAAGAAAAAUCUUUUUGAUCAUAAAUUUAUUUUAACUGUUUCAAAAUAUCCUGUCCUCAUUAGAUAUAGAUAGGAUUGAUAACAUCCAUUGUUGGUGAUGUGUCAUGAUCGAUUAUCUCUACUGAAUUGCUAAACUUGAAUUCGCACAAUCAGUGUUUAUCAGUCCAAAUAUUUUCCUAUCCUAUUUGUUUUACUGUGGAAAACAUUCUGCUAUAUAUAUAUGUCAACAUUCCCUAUAUUACUUUCUCCAUGAUUUUAGAGUAACUUGGCAUACUAUAUAUAAUUUUCAAAUAUCAGGAACCUUCACAUGUGUACUGAUAAAUGAUAGACAGACAGACAGACAGACAAUAUGUAGAUACUGAGCAUCUCUUAUGCACAGUGGUUUUAUAUAUUUCUUGCUAUUCUAUGGCUAAAGAUUUUAAGGAAAUAGCUCCAAUAUCCAAAACAAAAAUCCCUAGAUGUGAGUAAUUUCACAAUAUAAUGUUAAUUUCAAAGGAUAUUUUUAGUACUUACUUUGCUUACAAUUCCUGAAAAUGCAGCUCUUUGCUUGCUUAGGGCGCACAUGAAGAUAAAUUUGGAGUUUCUAGUCUAGUAAAUACUUCUCUGCUAAUAACUUAAUUGUAGCUAUUUCAAACCAAAUUGGUUAAUUGUGGUGAAUCAUGUGCAGCUUGCUCAGAUGUAGGUCAUUCCCCGCUCCCACACUCUAGGACCUUUUUUCUAAUUUGGGACAGACUGCUUCUUGCCUAAAAAAGCAGAACAGCGCAGAUCACAGUCCUUGGAUAAAACCAAAACAAUAAUGUAAAACUUAGCAGUGCACCAAGGAGGCAGAGUGUUCCCGUUCAAACGGGAAGGUAGGCUGCAUUUAUUUAGACCUGGGUUAAUGAUUUCUUAGAUUUGUUAUGUUGUUGCUCUAAGAUUCUCCAGGCCACCAAAUCUUGGCCUGGAGGAGGAUGUUUCCCCAUCUGUAAAGUACAUGGAGUAACAUGAUUCAUGGCAAUGGAAAUGAAGAUCAACUUAAACCAAAAGAGGCUGAGGCCUGUAAAAAGACUUAUGAUGCCCCCUUUGGAAAUAAGGUGCUGUGUCUUUUGGUGCUCUCAAUGAAUGAUGGAGGAGUUGAUCCCAAAAUAUGACGUGCAGCUCCUGGCGAGACCCUCUGCAGGGUUGAGGGGAGGACACUGUGUGCAACCCAUGCUGAGGCCGUCUUGAUGAGGCGGUUAUGGGAGCUACAGAGCUGUCGCUUUCUAGCUGCUGGGUGCAGGUCUAUUCUGUAGGCAUCUUUGUAGAAAAUGGGUUGUAUUACUUCUGAUCAGUAGCCAAGGUCUUAUGAUUCCAGUCAGACUUUAUAUGCGCCGUCCGUUGUAUUGAAAACUCCCGAUUCAGAAUGUUAUACUCACUGGCUUUCAUCUUCGUGUGAUGUUGCUGUCGUUUUUGAUACGUUGAAACAAUAAGUACCUAAGUCUUGCUGCUAAUUGACUAAAAGCUCCUUUUAUGAUUUAAAUCUCAGAAAUUAAAAAUUCUUCAAAUAUGUGCGCUUUUAAAUUAAACCUUCUGUGGAAUUUUAUUAUUCUAGAACUUGAAUAGGAGGCCAAUGUAACUCAGUUGUCGAAUAUUUUUCAAGCAAGCUUUGGGUUCAAUUCCCAGCUAUAAAAAAAGAAUCAUUUAUGACUAUAGAUAAUUUAAUCAUCACUAUGGAUUUUUUUAAUUAUUAUCAAGCAGUAAUAUAUUAAAAAAUCAAUUUUCUCUGUAAACUAAGAAAAGGGGAUUGUUAUUUUUAAUAUUUAGUAUGAUGAACUAGAUUUUAAAAAUCUAAUUUUUGAAAAAUAGAUUAUGUGUACUUUGUACUUCUAAUAUAAACCCUUACUUUGUGAAUUAUUUAAUUAUAAUAUAGAGAAUUAUACUAUACAAUAGGUGACAUUUCCCCAAAAGUUAUCUUACUAACAUUUGAUUGUUUCAGUCUUUCUUCUCAUCCAUAAACAACAAUAUUAAUAAAGGCAAAUGAUACUUUUAUACUGUUGGCAUGAUUCUGAGAUUUUUCCUCUAUUAAUUUAGAUCUCCAUCUAAAUCAACAGUGUCCAUUUCCUCUUCUAAUGACUUGCAUUAGGUGAUCUUUGGGGGUAUCAUAAUUUAUUUAAUAGAUCCUCUAAACAUUGCUUUUAAAAUAAAAUUUUAAAAUAGAACUGAGAGCAGCUUUUCUUAAUUACACUUCUGGCAGAUGUACAAAAGAAUAAUUCCCCCCUGAAUCAAGAAAUUAAGGAGUGAAAAAAAUGUUUUACAAGAGGCACAGAGAGUAGUAGUAGGUAAGCAUUCUCCUGUCAGAGGAAAGUAAAUGGUAUAGAUGAUAAUGAAAAUAUGUCAUAAGUAGGCAAAAUUGACAAGCACCCAAAUUGCUCAAGAUUUGCUGCGAACACACCACUUCCUAUAAGUGUUAGAGAGUCUCCUCUUUCUCUCUGGUGGCCAUUUGUCAUACCUCUCCAUAGC